ACUGUAUAAUGUUAUGGGCUCUUAUACGAAAUCCCAAAUCCACUCUUUUCUCACUUUAUCUCUAUCGUUUCUAGAUUUUAUUUCUUCUUUAUCGUUUCAUGAUUCCUUGCUACCACAUGAUCUUUGUAACAGAUGAAGUAAAUUAGAACCUUCAAUCCCAACGAUUAGUUGUUAGAUGAUAAUAAUGGCAUUCAAUCGUAGAAAUCAAUCCACGACUUCUUCAUCCUUACAACUUCCCUAGCUUUUUCACUAUUAUAUGGAAUUGAAGAUAGAAGGGCUCCGGUCAACUAAACGUCACGCUAUCUCCGAUACAUCUGUUAAAAGAAGGUCGCAAUAAUUUUGAAUCCUUAAAGGCCGGUCGGUGUAAGGAAAUUGUUGUUACCCGUCUCCUCAGUUUUUGGGUAGCAGAAAGUUGGAGAGCUUAUGGAUCUGGUUGAUUAACAGGGUGGGUGUCCUGCUUUCAUUUUUGGUUGCAUUGUCAAUAUUAACACGGAUAUGUAUUCUUUGGUUACUGAAGAUAAUGGUCAGCAUCACAGACAAAAACUCUAGCAGCUAGCCGCUGUUGCGUUUUGUCUACUCCUAGCCUGGUGAUAAGCUACGGUUAAGUCUAGAACUAUGUUAUUUUGCCACAGUGGCCAUGAUAUCAACUAGGGACCUCACUAAACAUACAUUGGGCAAAUCGAACCCAUCCUAAUAUGUUGUGUCAUGGGUCUGGUUGAUUCUUAUUUGGAAAAGUUCAAAGGGAAAUUUUCAAGAAGACAGACACUCACCGUAUGAGACUGAUGUUGCGUUUGUGGUUGUUCUUAUGCUUAUUUUCUUUUUGGUUACGUUUUGUAGAUCGAGUGAUUGUUGAGUAUGAGUAUGAUCAACCAGAAAAAAAAAAAACAAAGUUGGAGAUGGUGGUGAUGAGAAAUCCAAAUCUGAAGUAAAAGAGACUAGAAACCAAGGCAUAGAAGAGACGAAGACAAGGAUGACUGAUGAUCUAAGCCGUCAAGGUUGCACCAACGUUCCUGAUCUAGAGAUAUAAAGGAUUAAGCAUAGAAGUAACCAGGAGCAAAGAGACAAGAGAGUUGAUAGAGGUCGUAAAAAGGGUAGACAUAUAGAAGAAAUAAACAGAAAGAGGAAGUGGCUUGGUUUUUCUUUUGCACUGUAGAAGUAGGUGAAUAACUCAUCCUCUUCCUCCAUUUCUUUCAUGUGCAGAGGUUUCACUUUAUACACAAAUGCUGCAAUACCCUCUUCACAUUGUCUCUAUUAAUCAAUUGUUCAGUUACAUGGGGUUGAUUGGAUCAUCUAGGAUUAUCACAUGUUUGAUGAAUUUCUUUCAAAGGAAACGAAUUGACUCCUGA